CCUACGGGUGGCAGCAGUGGGGAAUAUUGCGCAAUGGGCGAAAGCCUGACGCAGCGACGCCGCGUGAGGGAUGAAGGUCUUCGGAUCGUAAACCUCUGUCAGCAGGGAAGAACGGUCACUGUGCUAAUCAGCAGUGAAUUGACGGUACCUGCAAAGGAAGCACCGGCUAACUCCGUGCCAGCAGCCGCGGUAAUACGGAGGGUGCGAGCGUUAAUCGGAAUUACUGGGCGUAAAGCGCUCGUAGGCGGUAUGUCAAGUCAAGGGUGAAAUCCCCGCGCUCAACGUGGGAACUGCCUUUGAAACUGGCAAAGUGGAGUGUGUGAGAGGAUAGGGGAAGUCCAGGGGGAGGAGGGAAAGUCGUAGAUA
rnacentral:rRNA from 1 species